GAUGAACGCUGGCGGCGUGCCUAAUACAUGCAAGUUGAGCGAACGGACGAGAAGCUUGCUUCUCUGAUGUUAGCGGCGGACGGGUGAGUAACACGUGGAUAACCUACCUAUAAGACUGGGAUAACUUCGGGAAACCGGCGCUAAUACCGGAUAAUAUUUUGAACCGCAUGGUUCAAUAGUGAAAGACGGUCUUGCUGUCACUUAUAGAUGGAUCCGCGCUGCAUUAGCUAGUUGGUAAGGUAACGGCUUACCAAGGCAACGAGGCAUAGCCGACCUGAGAGAGUGAUAGGCGACACUGGAACUGAGACACGGUCAAGACUCCUAAGGGAGGCAGCAGUAGGGAAUCUUCCGCAAUGGGCGAAAGCCUGACGGAGCAACGCCGAGUGAGUGAUGAAGGUCUUCGGAUCGUAAAACUCUGUUAUUAGGGAAGAACAGAUGUGUAAGUAACUGUGCACAUCGUGACGGUACCUAAUCAGAAAGCCACGGCUAACUACGUG
rnacentral:rRNA from 1 species